GAGCGGCGAACGGGUGAGUAACACGUGAGUAACCUGCCCCUGACUCUGGGAUAAGCCCGGGAAACUGGGUCUAAUACCGGAUAUGACACCUCCUCGCAUGGGGUGGGUGUGGAAAGUCUUUUCGGUUGGGGAUGGACUCGCGGCCUAUCAGCUUGUUGGUGGGGUAAUGGCCUACCAAGGCGACGACGGGUAGCCGGCCUGAGAGGGCGACCGGCCACACUGGGACUGAGACACGGCCCAGACUCCUACGGGAGGCAGCAGUGGGGAAUAUUGCGCAAUGGGCGAAAGCCUGACGCAGCGACGCCGCGUGGGGGAUGACGGCCUUCGGGUUGUAAACCUCUUUCAGCAGGGACGAAGUUGACGUGUACCUGCAGAAGAAGCGCCGGCUAACUACGUGCCAGCAGCCGCGGUAAUACGUAGGGCGCAAGCGUUGUCCGGAAUUAUUGGGCGUAAAGAGCUCGUAGGUGGCUUGUCACGUCGGGUGUGAAAGCUUGGGGCUUAACUCCAGGUCUGCAUUCGAUACGGGCUGGCUAGAGGUAGGUAGGGGAGAACGGAAUUCCU
rnacentral:rRNA from 1 species